rnacentral:rRNA from 1 species
GCGGUGUAAAAUGAGCGUGCGUCCUAUUAGCUAGUUGGUGAGGUAAUGGCUCACCAAGGCUACGAUGGGUAGGGGUUCUUAGUGGAAGGUCCCCCACACUGGCACUGAGAUACGGGCCAGACUCCUACGGGAGGCAGCAGUAGGGAAUAUUGGUCAAUGGGCGCAAGCCUGAACCAGCCAUGCCGCGUGCAGGAUGAAGGCUCUCUGAGUUGUAAACUGCUUUUGUACAGGAGCAAAAAAAUCCCUGCGGGGGUUCUUGAGAGUACUGUAAGAAUAAGCACCGGCUAAUUCCGUGCCAGCAGCCGCGGUAAUACGGGAGGUGCAAGCGUUAUCCGGUUUUAUUGGGUUUAAAGGGUGCGUAGGCGGCUUAUUAAGUCAGUUGUGAAAUCCUAGUGCUUAACGCUAGAACUGCGAUUGAUACUAUUAGGCUUGAGUUAAAGAAGAGGU